UCCUACGGGACGCAGCAGUGAGGAAUAUUGGUCAAUGGUCGGGAGACUGAACCAGCCAAGCCGCGUGAGGGAUGAAGGUACAGAGUAUCGUAAACCUCUUUUGUCAGGGAACAAAGGCGGGGACGUGUCCCCGGAUGAGUGUACCUGAAGAAAAAGCAUCGGCUAACUCCGUGCCAGCAGCCGCGGUAAUACGGAGGAUGCGAGCGUUAUCCGGAUUUAUUGGGUUUAAAGGGUGCGCAGGCGGUCUGCUAAGUCAGCGGUCAAAGCCCGGGGCUCCACCCCGGCCCGCCGUUGAAACUUGCAGU
rnacentral:rRNA from 1 species